AGUACCCCAAUUUCCUCAAGGUUGGGCUAAUUCAUUUACCCAGCAACAAUCAUUACAACAGCCACCAAGAGUUUGGAGCAAUCAAACUUCAUCUGAAGCACUAAUUCGGGAAGUCCUAACAAAGCAAGAAAUGAUCCUUGAGCAACAGACAUUUAUUUUGCGUCUUCUUCAAGCACGGCAAAACACCCAGGAUUGUGAAAUUGAAGAAGGGCUUCUGCCAGUGCAUGAUAUAGAAGCGCUACAAAACGUAGAAGUACAACUUAGUAAUGGAGAAUUCAAAGAGAGAUUGAUGAAUCACUUAAGUCUUAUUGGAGGGUGUGACAUAAAGGAUGCAGUCUGGCGGCUAAUGAGGAAAACAAUUUCCAAUAGCCUUGCUAGAAACAUGAAUUGGAAGGGGUUGAAUGGGAAGACAUCAUUUGCAGCACUGCGAUUGAAGGAUGUGAUGAUUGCUGCAGUUCGAAAAAAUCCACUGAUGUCCAAAGCAACAGAUCAUGAUCUGGAAUCUGUCAUGAAAAGAUGGCUGCAGCUUGCUUUAGAUCGAGAGGGCGGCAGAAAACGGCGGCAAAAAACACUCAUAAAAUGUCUCUCUUGUUCAAUCAACCACCCACCCACUUUCAC